rnacentral:rRNA from 1 species
AACGAACGCUGGCGGCAUGCCUAACACAUGCAAGUCGAACGAGACCUUCGGGUCUAGUGGCGCACGGGUGCGUAACGCGUGGGAAUCUGCCCUUAGGUUCGGAAUAACACCCCGAAACGGCUGCUAAUACCGGAUAAUGUCUUCGGUCCAAAGAUUUAUCGCCCUUGGAUGAGCCCGCGUAGGAUUAGCUAGUUGGUAGGGUAAAGGCCUACCAAGGCGACGAUCCAUAGCUGGUCUGAGAGGAUGAUCAGCCACACUGGGACUGAGACACGGCCCAGACUCCUACGGGAGGCAGCAGUGGGGAAUAUUGGACAAUGGGCGAAAGCCUGAUCCAGCAAUGCCGCGUGAGUGAUGAAGGCCUUAGGGUUGUAAAGCUCUUUUACCCGGGAUGAUAAUGACAGUACCGGGAGAAUAAGCUCCGGCUAACUCCGUG